rnacentral:rRNA from 1 species
GCCAGACUCCUACGGGAGGCAGCAGUGAGGAAUAUUGGUCAAUGGGCUUACGCCUGAACCAGCCAAGUCGCGUGAGGGAAGACUGCCCUAUGGGUUGUAAACCUCUUUUGUCAGGGAGCAACGCCGGCUACGUGUAGCCGGACUGAGAGUACCUGAAGAAAAAGCAUCGGCUAACUCCGUGCCAGCAGCCGCGGUAAUACGUAGGGGGCAAGCGUUAUCCGGAAUUACUGGGUGUAAAGGGAGCGCAGACGGCAGUGCAAGUCUGGAGUGAAAGCCCGUGGCUUAACCACGGGACUGCUCUGGAAACUGUGCAGCUAGAGUGCAGGAGAGGCAGGCGGAAUUCCUAGUGUAGCGGUGAAAUGCGUAGAUAUUAGGAGGAACACCGGUGGCGAAGGCGGCCUGCUGGACUGUAACUGACGUUGAGGCUCGAAAGCGUGGGGAGCAAACAGGAUUAGAUACCCUAGUAC